CGCGAAUAGCUCAUUACAACAGCCAUUGUUUACUUGAUCUUGAAUUCCUACUUGGAUAACUGUGGUAAUUCUAGAGCUAAUACACGCAACCAGCUCUGACCUUUGGGAAAGAAUGCAUUUAUUAGAACAAAACCAAUCGGACUUCUGUCUGCCUGUUGGUGAAUCUGAAUAACUCAGCUGAUCGCACGGUCUUGCACCGGUGACACAUCUUUCAAGUGUCUGCCUUAUCAACUGUUGAUGGUAGUUUACGCGACUACCAUGGUUGUAACGGGUAAUGGAGAAUAAGGGUUCGACUCCGGAGAGGGAGCCUGAGAAACGGCUACCACAUCCAAGGAAGGCAGCAGGC
rnacentral:rRNA from 1 species